UGGCGAUUAUCGGGCCUAAGCGUCCGUAGCUGGCCUGCAAGUCCGUCGGGAAAUCCACUCGCCUAACGAGUGGGCGUCCGGCGGAAACUACUGGGCUUGGGACCGGAAGACUUGAGGGGUACGUCUGGGGUAGGAGUGAAAUCCUGUAAUCCUGGACGGACCGCCGAUAGCGAAAGCACCUCAAGACGACGGAUCCGACAGUGAGGGACGAAAGCUAGGGUCUCGAAC
rnacentral:rRNA from 1 species